rnacentral:pre_miRNA from 1 species
CUGUGAAUCAGCUGGGGAUCUUGUGAAAAUGCAGAUUCUAAUUCAGAGAUCUCAUGUAGAGCCCAAGAUUCUGCAUUUCUAAUGAGCUCCCAGGUGAUGCCAAU